CAAUUAAAAAUAUACUAUGUAAUGUGCUCCACAUGGAUUCUGGGUGUUUUAUAUACGUGUGUCAGGGAGAAAAUACAUAAAAAAACAUAAAGGCAUCCUUCAAAACCUUGAACACCAGCAACCGAAUCGGUUGGUCAUGGCCCCUUUCUUUCUGAUGACUCCCUGCAACAGCCAUGCCUCUUUGAGGAAUUCUUCCAGCGUCUCCCAUUCUAGCCCAUUUCCUUUUAGGUCUCAGGAGCUGCUUCCUUAGGCAUACAUUACUUUCCACCACUUUGUGAUGAAUUCAUUGAAUGCAGUCUAAGUUGCGGAGUGUGGCAACCAAAGGCAACCAACUUCAUGACCCGGUUGCCACCGUGCUCUCCCGCUUUCUUCAAGUGUUUGCUUCAGCCUUUCGUAAACCACUGAACUUCUUGUCAUCUCCCACAUCUGCCAUGCCCCUCCCUGUCCUGGACCCUCAACUACGCCAAACCAUUGCUGUUUGUGUGGUGUCUUUCUCCUUCUGGGGACGUAAUCCCUGGUAGAUCUAAACGGACUGCAGAUUACUGGAUCAGCGUUCUCAUCGUGUGUGGGAACAUGAAUAACUGCCCAAAUAACAGACCACGCAUAAGCUGUGUAACAUGCCUUUGGUGUUGGCAUGCUCAGCAGAAAUGCUUGACUUGGGAAUUAGAUAAACCCGAGUUUAACCCUGAGUAUUUGUGGGCCUGUGACCUGGGUCAGUUCACAAAUCUCUCUGAAGCUGAGCCUUGCGUUUGGAGAGACAAUGCUAUAUGUACCCCCCUUUAUGGUUUAAGUAGACUUUACUGAGUCAUUUAACUAGAACUUCAAUGAUGUACCUGACUGUACUACAACUUAAAUAAGGUCAAUAAUUCAUACCAACAACCAAAGCGCAGUGACUUUGUUCAAGCACGUCUGUGUAUUUAAGUACACGGACUAAAGAAUAUUAAAGCUCAUAUUAAAAGUUUGCCACGAUUUCCUGCGGCGUAAAUGUUAAAGUAACAUACAUUCCGCAGUGACUAAUCAGACAGCUCAGCUUCCAAGCAGAGGAGAUUACCAUAUCAUAUCAUUCUUUGCUCCUUCUAAUUAUGGAUUACACAUCAUAUGGCUUUAGGGACUUCCUUGGAAAAUUUUUGUAUAAUAAAGCUCAUAACACCAGUCAUUAGGAAUUUUCCAUAUUUAGAGCAACAUUUCUGUGUUCGGCUAUUUUAUUUUAUAAUUCUAUCAAUAGUGUUGCUAGGAAAAAGGGAAAAGCAUAUUAUGAAAUGCGUACACCAUUUUCUUUAUGGUUUGAAUAUGACAUGUCCUUUUCUCAGGUUUGCGGUUUUAUGGUUUGGUCCUUGGGUGUCGCUACUAUUUGGGGAGGCUGUGGAAACGUUGGGAGUCAGGACUGGAGGAAGCAUGUCACAGGACUGAAACCUACACUGGUUCCCUCUCUUCUUGUCUCUGCCUGCUGUUUAAAAAAAUGCCUUGAAGCAACUCUGACUUCCAGUCCCACGCCACUGUGUUCUGCCCAAGCCCAGGCAAUCAAGCACCUGGGGCGGAACCACCUGAAUCUGCGAGCCAAUUAAAUCAUGCCUCCUUCCUACUCUUCCAGGUAUUUUAGUCCCAGCAACACAAAAAUACCUGCCUCAGAAACCAGGAUAAGGGACUUAAAAAUAAAAUUUACAUGCAGUGUAGGUACAUGUAAGCAAAGGUAAAGCAACAGGAACUAGUUUGGUCAACUGUGGUGGUUUGAAUAAGAACGGUCCCCAUAUGCUCAUGUAUUUGAAUGCGUGGUCCCCACUUAGGGGAACUGUUUGGGAUGAAGUAGUAGACGUGGCCUUGUUGGAGGGUGUUCUUUGAGGUUUCAAAAGUCCGUACCAUUCCUAUAUAAUUCUCUCUCUGCCUUGCACUUGUGGACCAAGGUAUAAGCUCUCAGCUACUGCUCCAACAUCAGCCAUACCUGCCUGCCUGCUACCAUGCUCCCUGCCACAACGGCUACAGACUCUAAAGCCCUGGAGCUAUGAGACCCAGUUCGGUCUGAUGAGUCGCCCUGGGCAUCGUAUCUCUUCACAGCAGCAGAAAGUAGGGGUGCUUCUCUGCGAAAGGAAUAAACACAAACCACCGGGAAAGUUUCGAAGAUCUGGAUUCUCUGGUACCAUCUCGUGGGAUGACAGUUAACAUGUGCACUCACUGGUGUCCACUGGUCACCGCUAGGUCAGAGGGUCUUAUACAAAGAAGAUGGUUGGCAGAGGCUAGGAGAAGCACAUCUGACAGUGUUGUCUUUUUAGGUUUGAGAUGUGUGAAAAAGCAGAAAGAUUUAUAAACCAUGAGGCCGUUUGCAAUUUCCAACCAACUAGCGACAAGUGAGAAAGUAAAAAUGGUCAGUCUUCUGGACUAUUCAAAAUGCACCAGGCAUGUCCAGCCCACCUUGGGAUAACACAUUAAAGCAUCAGCAACAACAAAGCCCAGCAAAUAAAACAGCAGCAAGGAGGAGAAGAGGAUGCGAAAGAAAGACAGGAACCAGGAGUUGUGAGGGAUGUGGGGACGGAGACUCAAGCUCAGUCCCUGAAGCUGGUGCCUGAUGUCCCCAGAACUUGAUCAGCUGCUUUUAUUAACAUGUUGGAAAUAUGCGCCCUCAAUAAAAAUGGAAAUCAUUAUAGAACUGCUUAUUUGCUCUCUCUCAGUAGAUCAGGAUACAUGCACUUUUAUUAAGGUCUGUAAGUUCGUAUUCAUUUUUAUUCCGUAACGUUUUAAUUUCAACCCUAUGAAGUCAUAUUUAUCUGUUUAAAUGGAUGUGGCUAAGGAAAAUUGUAGGAUAAUAGUUUCCAUAUGUUUGAGAAAGAUGUUGGAACCAAUUCAUUCGAUGACUGAAAACUUCAGCUCCAGAUAACAACAAAAUAGGUCUCUGUGUGUGUUUGUGUGUGUGUGUUGUUGUUGUUGUUGUUAUUGUCGCUGUUGUAAGGAUGCCUUCUAUUCCCGAGGAGGAAGUGCUUGGGAGAAGAGGUGAGGAGGAUUUGGUAUCAAGAAAGGAGAACUGUGGGUACUAUUAGGAGCCACAAAGAGUCUAAGGAAAGGAGACAAGAUAGAAGGAGACAAGAUAGAAGAUUGAACACGAAGGGAACAGGAGGACAUGUGUGAUCCUCUCAACGCACACAUCUGGGCUCCUGGCAGUGUGAAAGGAAAUGUAUGAGCACAUGUGACAGCCAGUUAUUUCUGCAUAGGGGAGAAGAGGGGCGGAACAGAGCACACAGUAGGAUCAAACCCAAGGAGGUCAGAAGGGGGCUAGAGAUAACAGACAUGCCCAUUCCAUUCCAAGACCUGAAUCCAACAUACAAUGACAGUCUUGUCCUGUGUGAUGAAUGAGAGACCAAAUGUGCCAUAAUAGACAACGGACUACCAACGUAGGCUCAACAUGGCAGCAAGCCAUGGCUUGUUAAAGCUGAGGUAGUUUUCCCUGACCAUGAGGGCUCACUGCUUGCUCCCACAAGCGCCUUUUACUCCACAUAUAAAAUAAGACACAUUACUCUAGAAACUGGGCUGGGAAAGGAGCAAGAGGACCGGUGUAGGUAGGGUGAUGCUGUGUCACAGCAGUGUUUCUCUAUGGCACCAGAAGAGUGGGAAGGCAGGGAGGUGGCGCUCUUUCUGCAGGGAGGAAGAGGCAGGGAGAGGUGGGAAGCACAGGUGUUCAGUGCCUACACUACCAGAGAAAUCGGGGAAAAAAUAAAAAUAGAAAGUGACUUGAUGCCUGGGGGCACUGGAGAACAGAGAUUGCCAUCUCCGACAGAGGGCCUGGUUGCGAACAGCGCUGGAGCCAUGGGAUCAGAACCUUUCUCGCUGGUUCUGAGAAAGACCGGAAGCAUCUGUUUACCAGGCAGGUGCAGGAAAAGUGGCUACUGGGUAGCAUAUGGGCUAAGUCACAGCAUUUGAGAGCAGCAUUUCGGGGGAUACUAAAUUUAAGAGCUUCAGUCUAGAUUACUUCUAUGUUUAGGCGAUAUUUUGCCCUUCUGUUGCUUCCUGUCCUUUAUCGCCUGUGAAUGCAACUGGAGAGCCAUGGUUAGAAGGGAGCCCAGAUUAUGCAGAGAAAAGGAAAAGCCGUAACGUCUUCCCGUGUCAGAGAUAUGGGUGUCGUCUUCUGAAACUUCAGGUUUCCUUCCAACUCAAAGGAGCUUUACUUGUGUAAAGCCGAAAUGUCUUAAAAAUACUUAUGGAGUUGCCUAAGGUAAUAGCAACUCACUUGAGCUUCAGAGAGGAAAAAAAAGGAAACUUCAUAUUAUUUCUCCAUAGGUGAAUUAGGUAAGAGCCAAGGGAAAAGACGCUUAGAAGACCUCUAUAUAAUUAAAUGUUACAGUCAUCAAAAUCUCUCAGAAUUCCAUGGCCUCUGAGCUCAAGUGGCUAUGGGGUCCUCUAACAAAAACAUCAAAUUACUUAAAAUGUCAACUACCUUUUUAAAAAAUAGCAAAUUUCACCAUUGAAGAAUUUGCCAGAACCUCUGCUGCCCCUUUUGUAGUUAAUCGUGAGGGUGACAUUUGGGCUUUCGCUGGGUACCUUGACUAAAGGUAGACCUGGAGCUGACUUGGGGAAGAGGCUGAGGCUGGGGGUCUACAGUGAAUGAACGCUCUUGUUCCUGAGACAGGGUUAGGGGAGCCCUGGAAGAACCACAGGGAGAGACAGGCAGAAAGGGAAGACGCCACAGCCAGAGACAGGGGUGCCACGUGACCCAGAACAGCCAGUGAAAGCUCUGAGAGCGAGCCCUCUUUUCCCUGAGGAACACUCAAAAAUUUUUUGAUUAUUUCCAAAAGAUAUAUUCAUUAUAAUAGAAGAUUGAAGUCAUGAGAGACCCCAGUUAAUUCAGGUAAAUA